GACUUAAAUCUCUCCCCUAGGUCCUUUGUUUUGGCGGUUACACUUUUUAGCUCUCAGAAUCAACUGAUAAUAGUGUGAUCGUGGGAAGGUAUCCAAACCUUAGCAAAUCUGGAAGGAAAGAAACUGUGGUGGGAUCUGCAGGGUGUUCUUUAUUUUUAUCUGGGAGAAUAGAUACCCUUGAAGAAUGGUUAUAAUUUCUGGCAUGAUCCUUGGAAAAGUUUCUAGGACUCUUAUCUUCUGUUUGUAAAAUUGAAAAGAAGUUUGAAUAGCUGUGAAAACCAGCUGUGUUCAUAGGUGUAAACAUUCACAGCAUCACACCCUAGCAUAUCAUUCUGAAGUCAGUAAAAAGCUUUAUCAACGAUUUCAUGGGCCUUAUCCUCCAUGAAGAGUGCACGUGCCACGUGUCAACUCACCGUUUUCUGUGUUAUUAACAUAGCCUCAUGUAAGAGAUACACUUUAAGUUUACCCUAAAUUCCCCCAUAUAGGGAGGGCCCACGUAGGUAAACUACUUAGACACUCUCCACAAAUAAUGUUAUUCAUCACAGUUUUAAAAUAGGAGAUUCUCCAGUGUAUCUGAAUAUUUGGCAAUGGAAUAUGACUUGUAUAGCCUGGUGUAAAUCUCUUCAUUUUUUUCCUUGUACUUGAUUUUCAAGAGGGUUGAUUUCUAAUUUAUUGCUUCUCCUUAUCGGAUUCGUUGUGCUGUGCCAUCAUGGGAACUCAUAUGCCAGUUCUUUAUAAAACAGGCCUUAAAAAAUUCCUGUCCAUGCUUUCAAAGAUGAUUUUAAAAUUUACAUAUAUUGAACCUUUCACAGAUAAAUUUUUACUUAAUGCCAAAUAAAUGGAGAUAACCACAACAUUUAAUUCUUCAAAUCGUAGUCACUUGAGAAUUUGGUUUUUAAGUCCCAUCUUUAUGGCCAUUGAACAUUUUAUACACAUAUUUACAGGAUUGAUACAGAAUAUAUUCAUUUCAUAAAUGCAGUGGUCUUCUGAAACACUUGAACGUUAAAUUUAGUUUUCACAAGAGUAUUUUUGCAUUAGCAUAAACAGCCCACUUCUGAUACUUUGUGUGAAAGGCUUUCCUUACAGUAGAUUUGUGCCCUGGAUUUUGCCCUGAGAUUUGAGCGAGGAAGGCGCUUGCAAUUGGACAGUAGUGAACAUAUAGCUGUCUCGGGGGCAGGUGAUUUAUUCUGGAAUCCAUUUGCGUGUUGACAGCAAGUUAAUAUUCAUGUAUUUAAAACUUUCAUAAAUAAAUUGCCACCUUUACAUUUUGUUUUCAGUGGCUUAUAUUUCACAGGUUUAAAGGUUUCAAAGUUCAAAAGUCCCUUUUUAUUUAUUUUUGUAUAACUUUUGCUAUAAGAAUAAAUAAAAAGUCCCUUUUUAUUUAUUUUUGUAUAAGAACUGUAUAAAAAUAUUCUUAUCAUGGAAAAUUUCAAACACAGGUCUUUUUAUGCCAUGUAUUUCUGGCACUUGUGUGAGUGUUAUGUUCAGUUCUGGUGUCUGGCUGCCCUGAAAUGUGGGGUGCUAGCCUUUCGCCCUCCUUCCUGUUGGAGCUCCUAUCCCCGGACCUGGAGAUCUGGACGGCCCAGGAGUCUGACAUUUUAAAGCCUUGGCCUCUGGUUGACUAGCAAGUAGGUAAUUAAAACAUAAAGACAGAAAAGAUAGCUGACAGAGGGAGAAGGCAAGAAGGAGACAGAAAGAAAGGAUUAAUAGUGCUGGGAGCCAGGGCCCCUUGGAGAGGAAGACUUGCUCCUGUCACUGCUCCUGUUGCUGCUGUCAGGCAUUUAGGAGUUCUUGGCUGAGUAUUUGACUCUGUGAAGGUGGUGGGAGGUGGGGCGAGGAGGGCUGCUUUGCCUCUGGAUGUAAAUAUAAGACUUUCCCUGGACUUUCCACAGGCUCAUUAUUGCAGAUUAAACAGAACACCAAAAUCAGCCCUGGCUGUACCAAGGCUUGCGAGGAUUUUAUCAAUGUUAUUUGCUUUUCCUGUUUUAUUUAUCUAUUUUAUAUUUACUUACCAUUUACUAUCAUAGGUGACAUUGUUUACUGUGCAUGUUUGUUUUUAUUUUUUUACCAAUACUCCUACCCAAUAAUUUUCCUAGUUUGUGAAGUAAUUCUUCACCUCCCCACUUCUUUGAACCAUUCUUCCCUAAAACUACCUCUUUUAGGGCAGAAAUUUUGCUCGGCCCUUAGUGCUAUGUAUUUGCCAAGCAGGAGCAGCCAAGUUGUGUGUGUGGUGCUAGGACUACAUAACACAGGCUUUUUUCUUGGUGCCAGAGAUCGAAAGAGAGGUCACUGUAGGUGAUGGUUGUCGCCACAGGAAUGCUGCCGCUUAAAA
ensembl:lncRNA